rnacentral:rRNA from 1 species
CCUACGGGAGGCAGCAGUGGGGAAUAUUGCACAAUGGACGAAAGCCUGAUGCAGCAACGCCGCGUGAACGAUGAAGGCCUUCGGGUCGGAAAGCUUUUUCCUCAAGGAAGUUAAUGACGGCACGUGAGGAGGAAUCCCCGGCUAAUAAGGUCCCAGCAGCCGCGGUAAUAUGUAGGGGGCUGGCGUUAUCCGGAAUUACUGGGCGUAAGGGGUGCUUAGGUGGUUUCUUAAGUCAGAGGUAAAAGGUUACGGUUAAACCGUAGUAAGUCAUUGAAACUGGGAAACUUGAGUGCAGGAGAGGAGAGUGGAAUUCGUAGUGUAGCGGUGAAAUGCGUAGAUAUUAGGAAGAACACCAGUUGCGAAGGCGGCUCUCUGGACUGUAACUGACACUGAGGCACGAAAGCGUGGGGAGCAAACAGGAUUAGAUACCCCAGUAGUC